rnacentral:misc_RNA from 1 species
AGAAAAGAAAAGAAAAGAAAAUUCUCUGUUUUUGUUGUAUAUUCUUGAAUUCCACAAGCUUAAGCUUUCUUGAGGCAUUUCAAUGGAACUCUCUCUUUCUUGCUGGAAUUUUGGGGCUUCUCCUGUUAGUGUUGUUGGGGAUGGUUAUUGCUACCCUUAUCCUAUGGAGUUGUUUGUCAAGAAGAAGAUUAAAAAACUAUGUUAUGCACAAUUUGAAGUUUUUGAUCAAAGUGGAAAUCUCCUCCUUCAAAUAGAUGGUGGUGUCUGGAACUUGAAGAUGAAAAGAAUUAUGAGAGAUCCUUCAGGUUUUCCUAUUCUCACACUGAGAGGAAAGAUAAUUACACUUUGGCAUAAAUGGAAGGCUUAUGAAGGUGAUACUACAGAUGAAGAUAACAUUGUGUUCAGUGUACAACAAUCCCAUCCUUUCCAGAUUAAAAAAGAGCUUCAUGUUUUCUUGGAAAAUUGCAAGAAAAAAGUCCCUGAUUUUCUUGUUAUUGGAUCUUACACUUCUUUGUCCUUCAAAGUUUUCAAAGGCCAUAGGCUUCUUGCAGAGGUAAAACAUAAUUUCACAUUGGAAAGCUUCUACAAGGGGAAGGAAAAAUACAGGGUUAAAAUAUAUCCAGAGGUAGAUUAUGCAUUUAUUGUGGCAUUACUAGUAGUUCUUGAUGAGAAUGACACCCCAUAACUCUCUCUUCAUCUAAGUUUUUGUUUUUUCCUUUUUUUUUUAUUUAUCUUGAGCAUUCACAUAAUGUUUAUUUAUUUAUUUUUAGAUUGUAAAUAAUUUUGAGAAAUAAUAUAAUUAUUAUAAAUUACAUCCUAAUCAAAUGCAAU